rnacentral:lncRNA from 1 species
UCUACCCCUUUACGAAGGCUCAAACAAAUUGAAAAAACGAUUUUUUUCCCUUCUUUGUUUAAUUUCUUCUUCUUUAUUUAUUAUUUUUAUUUUUAAUAACAUACUAACUAAUUUAUGGGGUAUUAACCAACUAAUCAACAAAAGCUCCAAACUAGUAGUUGGUGAUAGUUGUUGAAAUUGAUUUUUAACUUUUAUGGUGCAAGACUAUUGCUCUUGAUUUAUGUAUGACUUAGGUAAUGGCUUAGUUGUGCGCUCACACAUUCAAAGGAAAAACCAAUUAAAGCCAAGAUACAGGGGGCUAAGGUCAUUUUCCUAGUUAGGUUCAUCUUUAAUAAUAUGGUGUGAGAUUGUGUUUAGUAUCAUGGAAUGUAUUUUAAACCGUUGACAGAAACUUUAUGUUUACUCUUAAGCAUUCAACAACUCUUUAGAAAUAAAAAUCACCAAUAAUUGAGAAUGCUAAUAAAGGAAUUUGGUCGGGUUUUCUUGCAAUAAGGUGUCCACGCCAAUAUUUAAAUUUCUUAUUGCAGAGACGGUUGAACACUAAAGCUUUCUACUGUAUUAGCUUUCUACUCGAGCAGAUAAUACUAAACAUGAACACUUUCUGCAAAGUCACCUGCGUUCGCAGAGAAUGGUUAGGGGGGAGCAGGAGAUUUUUUCUAGCGUGAACCCUCCAACGCUCAAGUCAGUUAUCUAAGUUUUCUGAAAUAACUUGCACCACAAUUCUCAUGGUUUAAUUAUAAUUACUUUAAACAAGAAGCUCUAAAGAAAUUUUAAAAGAAGAAAAUUAAAGAAAAGAAAGAAAGAAUUUCUGAGUGAGAAAGAGAGUGAGUUCAUUAGUGGAAAGAAAAAGAGAUUAUUUCUCUUUCACAACUUUUGCUUGCCUUCUCUUGAUCGUGCAAGAGCAAAUAAGUUUUGACUUCUAUCUCAACUCGAGGAGGUUUUGAGACAUCAGCGGUUUACUUGCCUUAGGAUAAAUCUCUUUCUUUUUUAGGCAAGUAAAAGGCUUGAUGUCUCAAAACCUCUUUUAAAAUGAGACAAAAGGUAAAACAUGCUUGCUCUUGCUCGGUUAUUGUAAGGUGAACAAGAGUCAUAUGAAGGAGAAUUAUUUUAAAGCAAAUAAAAGGCUCGAAGUCUCUAACGUCCUAUUGCUCGCAAGACUCUGUAUGGUAACUAAACAACCCCUAACUUGAAUCUCUUGUAUUUUGGUUACCCUCCUAAGUAUUUAAUCCCCACUUUUUAAUUGCUAAACUUGCACAUUCUGGUUAUAAUAGUGAACAAUCUUUUUGCUGAUAGGUAGCCACCUUUUCUGAAGUGGAUUCUCUUUUUCAGCGAGCAAAUCUAAAUUUAAGCACAUCUGCUCAUUUUUUUCCUCCUCGUUAAAGUACUUUGUUUAAUGAGUGCUCGUCUCAAUCUCUAUAGGAAUAAUUGCCUCAUGGCCAAAGGCUAAGGUAAUGGCAUUUCUCUUGUCGCAAUUUUGUGGGUGGUUUUAUAGGCCCAGAGCACACUAAAAAACUCAUCAACCCAUGGUCAUUUUCAAUCAUCCAGUCGGGACUUCAAGAUCUUCUUGAUCAUUUGUUUGCUGCCUUAACCUUCCUAUUUGCUUUCGGGUGUGCAGGCGAGCAUAAUCUGCUCAUUAUUUUCCUCCUCGUUAAAGUACUUUGUUAAUGAGUGCUCGUCUCAAUCUCUAUAGGAAUAAUUGCCUCAUGGCCAAAGGCUAAGGUAAAUGGCAUUUCUCUUAUAGCAAAAUUGUGGGUGGUUUUAUAGGCCCAGAGCACACCAAACAACUCAUCAACCCAUGUUCAUUUUCAAUCAUCCAGUCGGGAUUUCAAGAUCUUCUUGAUCAUUUGUUUGCUGCCUUAACCUUCCUAUUUGCUUUCGGAUGUGCAGGCGAGCAUAAUCUCAACUCAAUAUUCAACUUCUUAUAAAACUCCCCAAGAUUAACAAACUACUUUCCAUUGUUUGUUAUGAGAGCCUCUACAUUAAGUCUAUCAUUUUCUUCAUGGUUAUUUUACAUAAAAGUUCAAAAAUAAGCUAUUGCCAUUAUUGCGUAAAUGUUGCUCCUCUUCCUUUUGGCAGAGUUCUGAUUAGAUCGACUUUCUAUUAUAAAAAAUGCUACAAUGAGGACAUGAUGGGGAAAGCAAGAAAAGUUCUGGUAACUCUUGCACGAUCAUCGCUUGUGCAUCUUUAUGCAUUAUCGACUACAAGUAUCCAUGUCUCACGAUUUUAAAAGCUAAGGAUCUUGCACCUAAAUAAUUUCCAUAAAUCCCUUCAUAUAUCUCCCUUAGUACGUAAUAUGCUUCGUACUUAUCCAUACGUGAGUGAGAUAUUGAUAUACACACGGAUAUACACUGUGGUGAGAGCGGCAUGGAUUCCUUUUGUUAUUGCCAAAUCAACAUUGGAAGAAAGGCAACGUGUAACUUCUGUUGUGCGCGGAAUGCGGAAUCAAGCGCACCAAAUAAUUACAGAAAAAUAAAGGACACAAGAAUUUACGUGGUUCGGUAAUUAAACCUACAUCCACGAAGGUAAGAAAGAAUAAUUGUUUAUGAGUAAUGAUAUAGCCACAAACUCUUGUACAAACUUAUUUUGUACAAACUAACGUGGCAUUAAUUCAUUGGUUGAAUGGAAAUAUAAAUUAAUAAAAACAAAUCAUGUGGGCCAAGUGAUGUUUAAUUCAACCAAUCUUAUCAUGCCACAUCAGUUUGUACAAAAUAAGUUUGUACAAGAGUUUGUGGCUGUAUCAUUACUCAUUGUUUAUUUAACAAUUAAUAGAGUACAAUAUUUGAGUAACGAAUCUCACUUCCCAGAAACCCAAAUAUACCCAGUACUCUCACACUCUGCAGGAAAGAUAAAUUCCCCAGACACACUUCUCUCACUUCUCUCAAAAGCUUAGAAACUUAUAAGCUUAACAAUUUUGGGAUGAUUUCAAAUGAAUGAAAUCCUUAGCUAUUUAUAGGAGAAAUGAAUUAUUAUGCAAAGAAUAAAAUAAUUAAAAAUAUAAUUUUUAAUUAUUAUUAUUUUCCAAAUCCAUCCCCUUUGUCCAUUCUUUCUUUUCGGCUUGAAAAAUCUCUAUAAUUGUUGGUGUACCAAAUCGUGAUACCAACCUUGAAAUUGGCAAGCUCUUCUUUGACUUUUCAACAACCUCGUCAAUAUAGCACUCCAUCGAUUAGCGUGUAGUUAGCUGUUUAGUGUUUGAGCUUGCUCCCUUGCACUUUGUCUGUUGGUAGCGCUCCAUCUCGAAUAUUGUAGAGUCCAUCCAAGCGUUAUUCAUUUCUACCUCAUUAUAUCAUAUUGCUAUUCAAUACUUACAAAAGUCUUAACUUUGAUUAGGAUUGACCUGGACAUCUUUGCAUCUGACGUGGCUGUCAUUCCUGGCAAGAUAUCUAGUUCCUUGUUUUACACCCUUAAGAUCUGCUCAAUGUCAAACUCUUGCAACUUUAUUAUCAUCUCUUUAACUUUCUUUAAAUACGACUCCAUCUUUUUCCCUUUAGCCUGAAAGCUCUCAUUUAGUUGGUUAACUAUAUGUUGAGAAUCCAUCUAAAUCUUCAGUUUAUCUAUUUAGACGCCCUCACACAAAGUCAAAUUUGCAAUGAAUGCUUUAUAUUCUGCUUAAAUUUCAACAAAAUGUACAUUUCCAGAAGUAAUUCAACAGCAUUACAUAUCAAUACUGCAAGGGCAUGUCUACAAAGAAUCCCCCUAAAUUGAAAUUUUGAACAGAUACAGCUAACUUCACAUGCAGCUUCUUCAAAAACAAUCUCAAAGGUUCUUUCUUGUCUUGCCCAUAUAAUUCACUAAUUUCAUAUAUUGAUCACACAUAAUUAACUAUAUCACAAUACAUCAAUGCAGUUAAUUCUUGUUGGAAUUCUUUAAACUUAGAAAUAGUGUAUACAUCUUCAACUUACUUCUCCAUCUCAUAACUUGUUACACAUGGAGUCUUUUUACUGAAACACUUGGCAUCUACUUGCCAAUCUAAUUCAACUUUCCUUCUCAAUGCAUUUUCGUACUACUUCACAAAUUGCUUCAAAUUUGUUUUGAGUUAACGAAUCCAUCAAACAAUGCAUUCAUACUUUCACUUUGCUGAGUUAUUGACAUUCAUGCAUAAAAGCAGUCUUUCAAAUAAUAUGGAACCCAAUGAUGCUGCUCCUCAUAUAAACUAUUCAACCAAUCAUUAUUCCAUAAAUCAUAUAUCGUCAUCAUGUCAUGCUAAACUUCCUCAAACAUAGCAGGGCUUAAUGAAUCAUAAACAGUAGAAAGCAAUGAAGAAAUAAUACCUUCAUGUUCUUUAAAAUCUCUUAACUGCUUAGACACCUUCUUCAUUAUAUGCCACAAACACCAUCGAUGCCUAGUUGUAGAAAAAAAUUUCAAUUGCCUUUUGCAUUGCUUUGUCUUAUUCUGUAAUGAUACCAAUGGGAGGAGAGCUAGACAUGCAUGAUAGUCACGCCUCAAAUAACCACGUAAAUGUCUCGGUAUCCUCAUAUGAAAUUAAUCUGCAUCUAAACAAAAUAGACUAUCUAUGAUAAUUAACUCCGACAAAAGAAGCGAAUGGCAUGUUAUACUUGUUGGUAAGAUAUUGAUAGGACUUAGGGCUAAAUUAGGGCUGACUUUUAUUGAUUAAAUCAAAAGAAAACAAACAAUCAAUCCUGACCUACAAUUCGAGAGGUAGGUCAAUCUCUCCCAAAGCUCCUAAUAGUUCUUAAUACCAGACAAAACUCAACAUAGACCCUAAAUGACUCAAUAAUCUCUUAUUUAUAUCUAAACCCUAAUUAAUAAUAAAGUUACUAAAUUGCCCCUGCCCCUAAAAUUACUAAACAGCCUCUGCCCCUUUAUAUUUGCGCCUAACAUAAGUUUUCAUGGGUCUAACAUUACUCCCCUCCCAAAAAGACACCUUGUCCUCAAGGUGGAAUCCAAGAAACUGCUGCUGUGUUCUUAUCCGCAAUCCUCUGUGCCAACUCCAUUGACUCCCCUAACCCUCUUGGCCUUAGCAAGCGUAGCGCGGCUCAGAUUUCUAGCUUUGGUCCCUUCAUAAAAUUCCCUUCCAAUACUGCCUCUGAGAUGUCCCCUAGACGUCCCGAUAGCAGCUCAAACUUUUUUCUAUACUCCAUGAUUGUUUUCUCUUGGAUCAGAAUAAAAAAUUGUUCGUGCAAAUCUCCCUCUUGAGUGGUCCGAAACCUCUCCAACAGCCGGUCCUUAAAUUCACCCCACGGCCUCAAUGGUUGUUGUUGUUCCCGCCACUGAAACCACAUAAGGGUCUUUCCCUCCAAACAUAAUGCAGCCGCCAUCAGUUUUUCCCCUUUCGAGAGUCCAUUGAUGGCGAAAUAGCGCUCUACCCUAUACACCCAUCCAUAGGCAUCCUCGCUUUCGAAAAUGAGCAUUUUUAGUUUCCUUACCCCAAAAUCGGCUCCAAAUUGAGUCAGCCCGGCCCAAUUUCGCGCCAUUGAAGGUCUCCAACCUCCCGAAUCUACUCCAUUUUCCGCAAAUCCCGAAGACCCAGCCCAAAAUUCUCCUUGCCCAGCCCCAUAUUGGGCUGAAAUCCCUCGCCCAACUGCAUUCUGGUCAUAACCACUCUCUUUCUCACCGGUAACCCCUCCUCCUAGCCAUCUGCCCCUAAAUCUGACCUAUCCAGACCCAAAACCGCCCUGCACAGGCCUAAAUCCAGCCUGCCCCGGCCCACAACAGCCCUGCCCGGCCUGCCUUGGCCCAAAACAGCCCUGCCCAACCCAAAAUUUGGUAGGCCUAGGCCGUGAGUCACCCCCAAACGCUGUCGAUUCGCCAAGCCCGGCCACCCCCGACUCCCGCGCGACCCAUUCUGAUGCUGAAACACCGAUUCCCAACCCUAAACUGCCUCCUCCAACCGCGUAACCCUCAGAUCCACCGCCCCCAGCCGCAACCCAGCCUCCUUCGCCACGCCCAACGCCAGGAAAGGCUCCCCUAGGCCGUAAGUCCCCUAGGCUGACCUCCUCGCCACCAAAUUCGCCGUGAACUCUUACCCCUAGCUGAGUAAGACUGGUGGUUUUUGGCCCUCCACCCUUUGUGCCGUCACCGAGCACGGGUUUCGUGUCGUCAUAUCCUUCUCCCGCCACACUGCCUUGGCCUGUUGAUAUUGCCAGUGGUGGGUUGAGGUGGAGUUCUAUUAAUUUCAGCAACAUGGCUUCAAGGGAUGAAAAUUUUUGUUGAACGCUAUUAAAUCGCUCGUCAAUGGUGGCCUUGAGCAAUCCAAUCUCCGCUUCCAAUUUUUCUUCAAGCACGUCCACUUUCGUUGCUGCCAUUGUCUCAGGAUUCUUGCUCUGAUACCACUUUGAUAGGACUUAGGGCUAAAUUAGGGCUGACUUUUAUUGAUUAAAUCAAAAGAAAACAAACAAUCAAUCCUGACUUACAAUUCGAGAGGUAGGUCAAUCUCUCCCAAAGCUCCUAAUAGUUCCUAAUACCAGACAAAACUCAACAUAGACCCUAAAUGACUCAAUAAUCUCUUAUUUAUAUCUAAACCCUAAUUAAUAAUAAAGUUACUAAAUUGCCCCUGCCCCUAAAAUUACUAAACAGCCCCUGCCCCUUUAUAUUUACGCCUAACAUAAGUUUUCAUGGGUCUAACAGAUAUGUGGUGUCAAAUGUAAUAAAAUCCCCAAAAUAUUUAUAAGUCGCCCUACUCCUUGGAUUUGCCCAAAAUACAUUAUUUAAUCGAUUCUGCUCAUCCAAAUCAAUACUUAAAAAAAAAAAAUCAUCGCAUUCUGCUUGCUUUUUCUAGAAGUACUUUAGAAUUGUCACAACAUCUCCUUCUCCAAGUUGUAAUCGCAUAGUUUUGUCUACAAGAUUUCUAUAAUCUUUUUCUAGAAAUGAGACAUUUUUAUAUCCACCAGCUUCAACAAUAAUUGAAUUAAAAUUAUGGGUAAUGUUAAUUCUCGCACAAUCAUUCAUUUCAAUAUGCUUUCUUGCACUUGCACUAAUGUUACAGUUACAAGGAAAAUAUCUAACUUUGUCCUGAUGCAAUUCAUGAUUGUGCUGAAGAUUUAAAGUUCGAAUAACUCAUUUUCCAUCUUCAUUUACACAACCUUCAAUUCUAACAUCACAACCAGUUUUCACAAUACAUUUCGACUUCAACACAUCAGUAGAUUUACUUUCUAACUUGCCGCUAUGGCCACACGCAAAUGUCGCGUAUCUUACAAUUCCAUCACUCCCUUUCUUACUAGUUAGCUUCUUCACGAGAAACAUUUCUUGUUUACCAUAGGCUUUGUAAAAUUGCCACAUUUCCCCAUGGCUAUCAAAUAACAUCCCAAGAGUUGGCUCAUAUAUUUUCGUAUUGCACAUCUUCGACUCCACCUUCAUUUUCCUAAUUUUUUAU